GAUGAAGAACGUAGCGAAAUGCGAUACUUGGUGUGAAUUGCAGAAUCCCGUGAACCAUCGAGUCUUUGAACGCAAGUUGCGCCUCAAGCCAUUAGGUUGAGGGCACGUCUGCCUGGGCGUCACAUAUCGUUGCCUGAUGCCAGUUUCCUCGUGAUGGGUGACUGUGCAGGGCGAAUGAUGGCUUCCCGUGAGCAUUGUUGCCUCAUGGUUGGUUGAAAAUUGAGUCCUUGGUAGGGAGCGCCGUGAUAGAUGGUGGUUGAGUGACGAACGAGACCCAAUCAUGUGAGACCACUACCGAAUUUGGCCUUCAUGACCCACAUGCGUCUUUGGAACGCUCAUGACGAGACCUCAGGUCAGGCGGGGCUACCCGCUGAGUUUAAGCAUAUCAAUAAGCGGAGGA
rnacentral:misc_RNA from 1 species